rnacentral:rRNA from 1 species
UACGUAGGGGGCAAGCGUUGUCCGGAUUUAUUGGGCGUAAAGAGCGUGUAGGCGGCCAGACAGGUCAGCUGUGAAAACUCGAGGCUCAACCUCGAGACGUCGGUUGAAACCGUCUGGCUAGAGUCCGGAAGAGGAGAGUGGAAUUCCCGGUGUAGCGGUGAAAUGCGCAGAUAUCGGGAAGAACACCCGUGGCGAAGGCGGCUCUCUGGGACGGUACUGACGCUCAGGCACGAAAGCGUGGGGAGCAAACAGG